GCGGCAGGCUUAACACAUGCAAGUCGAACGGGCACCUUCGGGUGUCAAGUGGCAAGACGGGUGAGUAACACGUGGGAACGUGCCCUUCGGUUCGGAAUAACUCAGGGAAACUUGAGCUAAUACCGGAUACGCCCUUCUGGGGAAAGGUUUACUGCCGAAGGAUCGGCCCGCGUCUGAUUAGCUUGUUGGUGGGGUAACGGCCUACCAAGGCGACGAUCAGUAGCUGGUCUGAGAGGAUGAUCAGCCACACUGGGACUGAGACACGGCCCAGACUCCUACGGGAGGCAGCAGUGGGGAAUAUUGGACAAUGGGCGCAAGCCUGAUCCAGCCAUGCCGCGUGAGUGAUGAAGGCCUUAGGGUUGUAAAGCUCUUUUGUCCGGGACGAUAAUGACGGUACCGGAAGAAUAAGCCCCGGCUAACUUCGUGCCAGCAGCCGCGGUAAUACGAAGGGGGCUAGCGUUGCUCGGAAUCACUGGGCGUAAAGGCGCGUAGGCGGCCGAU
rnacentral:rRNA from 1 species